rnacentral:rRNA from 1 species
UUCUUAUCUUUUAUUAUCCCAGAAAUGCAAAAAAACUUAUUUUUUUUUACCUUUUGCAUAAGUGUUUAACAAUUUUUUUGUUAAUUUACAUUUCCCGAAUUAGAAAGAUCUAAAUAAAAAAAUCCUUUAGGUUUUACCCUAAUGUGGCAUUAUUAGACUUAUAUUUUUAUUUAGAAGUGAAAAACUUCCAUUUUCUUAGAUAACUGGAAUUCUCAUAAAAGUAUCUAGUACUAAAAAAAAAUUAAGAAGUUUUUAGAUUUCUUAAAAAAAGUAUCAUAUUUAAAAUUUGUUUAUUAAGGAAUAAACCUCAUAAUAAAGUUUAAAAUUUAAUAUUUUUUAAUUAUUCAUCUUUUUUUUAUGAGAAAUAAUUUAAUAAUUUUGGUUAAUUUUUAUAAUGUUAAAAUUAGUAAAAAAACCAAGUUAAAAAAAUGAACUCGGCAAAAAUAAUUCUUAUCUGUUUACCAAAAACAUAGCUUAAAGAUUAUAUUUUAAGUAAAUUCUGCCCAGCGUUAUUUAUUAGCGGCCGCAGUACCUUGACUGUGCUAAGGUAGCAUAAUCAAUUGGCUUUUAAUUGAAGUCUGGAAUGAAAGGUUAAAUAAAGAAUUUACUGUCUCUUUUUGAUUUUUUUGAAUUUAUUUAUAAAGUGAAAAUACUUUUUUGAAGAAAAAAGACGAGAAGACCCUUAGAAUUUUUACUUAGUUUUUUUAUUAAAAAUAUUUUUUUGUUGGGGCGACACUGAAACAUAUUUAACUUUCAAGAUUUACAUGACAAAUUUUUUUAAAAGAUCAAAUUACCUAAGGGAUAACAGCAUAAUGAAUUAUUUAGUUUAUGACCUCGAUGUUGGACUAGGAACUAAAAGACUAACAGUCAAAAUAGAAUGUUCUGUUCGAACAAUUUUCUCCUACAUGAUCUGAGUUCAGACCGGCGUAAGCCAGGUCAGUUUCUAUCUUUUAUUAAUUAUAUUUUUAG